GUGCGUUUUUCCAAUCCAGAUUGCCGCUCAAACCCUUAGCGCUGGUUUUGGUGUGAAUCUCUGCUCCCUUUGCCAGAUUUGGAUUGGUUGGUUCGGGUUGGGUGUUCCUCGUUGAUUCUGGUCUUCUUACCUUUCUCCAUUACAAUUUGCUAUAGUGAUCCUUAAUACCACUGAUUUUACUUCAUAUUUUGCUGCGCUUUCUCGAUUUGUUCUGCUAGCUUGUAAGUUCUAACAAUGAAGUCAUCAUCCUUUUGCAACUGGUAUGAACCAUUUUAUGCUUAUUGCCGGCUUUUCGAUGAUUUAAAUAUGUCAUUAAAAGCUUGUGCAAAUAAUUAGAAUGAUGACUAAACAAGGAAGAGUUUGCUGGGGUUUAAAAUUUUGCAUUUAUUUGCUGGGGUUUAAAACACUACAAUUAUUUGCUUCUGUUUCUUAUUUAAUAGGUAAAGAACACACAUUUGUUAUAUCCGAUGAUAGCAGUGAUGCUGAUCGGCUUGUUGAGUUGGUUCUGGCUCAGGUACUCAGUUUAUGAUUCCUGUAAUUCCUUUGGCAUGAGUAAUCUAUUGUAUUACAUUGAAUGAAAACAAACACACUGUUCAUCUUUUUAGUUGUAUGCAGGGAAUGAUGCAUACUACUCUCUGCAUACUCAUAUGAACUGUUCCUUGCUCGGGUACUUGCUGUAUGUAUGAUGGCUUGUGUGCAACCAGAGAAAGCAUAAUCGAUUACUAUAAAGCAUUCCCAUACUUUGUUAUUUAUUGAUUGGUAUACAUGAUCUGUUGGUUUUAUUGUACACAUAAUAGCACAGAAAAGCAAGGCUGAUGUGAGUAUUGUUAUGGUGGCAUAGAAAGAUAGAAAUGUUCAGAAAUGGAAGGUAAUAUUUGAUGGCUGACAUAAUUUCCGAGAACCUAGGGAAAUGGUGGAGAACAAACGUGGGACAACAGAAAGACUAAGACAGGAGAGGAAAUAUCAAGGGACCAAGCCUUCAACAACACUCAAUUUCCUCCAAUCUUCUUUGCCUCACAAGAGAGGGCCUUAUUGCUUUGCCUUAAGUGACAAAAUUAUCUGAAGACUCAUUAAGCGACAAUGGACCUUCGAAGAAUAUUUACUUACACUAAGAUUUUAAUCAGACUAUUAAUGACAUUGGCUCACAUACAUUUUACUUAGAUUUCCUCUAGAUUGAUUUUUAUUUUCAUUCACCGUCUUUUAUUACCUUGGAGACUUCUCUUUGAACCAAAGAGGCCUUAGCUUUAGAGCUGGGCCAAUGGGAUUAGUUUGGGGCUUCCUCAGCUUUCAAUACCUUGUUGCUACUUCUGUAUUAUGUUGUAGGUUUUGCAUCAUGCACUUUAAAUGCUGUACACUAUUUGAAUGCCACUGAUUUAAAUUAAAUUUACAUAUGCAGCAGUCAGGUUGCCUUGGCAGUUUAUUAGCUGAGUGAAGAAAUCGGCAAAAAGCUUGCCGGUUGUUGCGACCUGAGAUAUCUCAUAAGCACGCACAUAUGUAGCUUUUGCGUCACGGAUUUUAAGGUUCAGCUUAUUUAUAUCUACUGCAUGUUAUAGUCCACUUCUUAAAGAGGAACUCUUGCCACUUGAAUGGCAUGGGUUCUUUGGUAUUUUGGGAUAAUGUUUUAAUUUUUACCUCUUGGGUUUGGGUGGCCUCAGCUUAAUAACCUGACUUAUGGUUUAAAAGUAAUAAAGCCUAUCUAUCCGAGAAACAAAAUUUAAACAGAAAUUUUUUAAAAAGGAGAGCAAAGCAAAGGACACAGAGCACUCCUCUUUAGAAACUCUUUGGUUUAUUGAUCAUAUGGUUUUUCAUUUGAGUUUUCCUCACUCCUUGUCAGUAAAUAUUAUGCCUCUUAUAUGCAGGUGAUAGGGUGGUCAGUGUGGUUUUCUGAGUGUAUAUUUUCAGAAGGAAGUUGGUAUUGAUGAAUAUUAUACAAGUGUGUCAAAAUAUCUACACAAAUGCAACAUUUUUCUUUAAUUUUUUUCUAUCUAGUGAAACCAUUGAUGAGAAAUCUAGACACCAAGCUAGACCUGAAGAAAUAUGAGGAUUUAAUCCUUUGCAGCACCUAGAUUUCUUGAGUAUUUUCAUUUUCUAGAAAGUUUGAUAUUGUGUGAAGUUAAGGAGUUUAUUGGUACACUUCAACAGAACUUCCUUGGAACAAUUUUGUGAAAAUGUGAAUUGUUGGUGGAACUAGUUGCUAAUACAAUCAGGUCGUAUGAUAUAGCAUUAUAUGGCUGCCAACUUCAUAGUAAUGAUUUUGAUGAAGUUUUCCCUGCAAAGACUUAUUGCCAAUUUAGUCUAGCUUCUUUAGAAAAAAUAAAAAAUAAAAAUAUACAUCUGUCAUAUAUAUUCCAAGCGAGCCCACUGAAAAGAUCCCCAAGUCGAGUUUCCCCAUGAAAUUCAGUCUUCCAAAUGGUCUAUACUUUUCAUCUAAGGAAUGAAUGUAAUAAUACUAUAAUAGUGUCCAUCUCCCUCCUCCAUAUCUAUUUUUCAGUCCCUUCAUGAAAAAAUUUCUUAACCCUACAAGUUUCAGUAUUUGAAACCGGUGCACCUGUGGACAUAGAAGAUUUCGACUCAAUUUAGUGACUAAUAUUUGAAUGCUGUGGUGAUAUGUGCAGUCAGAUCUUCAAUGACUAAAGGACUUCCCUCAGCCCUUUUGGUUAACUGUUUUUAUAAAAGGAACUUGUUUCACCAGGGAGAGCUUAUAGAUGCACAGAUGCUUCCUUUCCCUGGCAAUGUUUCCUGUCCUCUUUCUAAGCACCAUAAAAGCAUUUGGCAUUCCAGAAUCCCGCUAUACAGCAGGUCCCAUUUCUCCAUUUACAUGUUUUGAGUCCUCGUACUAAGGUGCAACUCCUUGGAAUGUCCUUUUCAUUUUCUGGCUGGUUGGUUCAAUUCCCCAUCACAGUAAACAUAUAUAGCAUUCCAGAAUCCAGCUUUACAAAAGAACCCAUUACUGCUUGUUACAUGGAUCUAGCUAUCUAAGCUUAUUGUUGCUAUCAGGAUUUUGUCUGUGCAGUAAGACAUGCACUCUCUUUUGUUCCAGCCAUCUAUGAUAUGCCAGUGGGUAUUCCUAAAACUUCACUUCCACCUACACUUGGAAGACUCUUCAAAGAGGAACAUUCUGUGGUAAGCCUAACAUACUUUGGGGAAUAUUUCAUAUGAAUCUUAGUGACUAGCAGCCAAGGUGGUUUCAAUCUAUGUGUUGUAUGCUGUUGUUUCACUGGCUUUUGUGUUAUCAUAUAUGAAGUUAGGAACUACAUCCAUUUUCAAAUAUAUGUAAAGAUGUCUGGCAUAGAAUCUUGUUACUAGCCUAAAAUAUUAAAAAUACUACUGUCUGGUUAUGCUUCCAAUGAUUUGUGUACUAGUUUGCUCUCUUCGGCUGUGGGGCGCAUUCGCAGUUGCAGUGUUUCAUGCAAGCCACUCUAGCAAACAUUAGUUGAUCAGAGCACCUCUUUCCCAUCUGUGACUGGUUAUCAUUGCAGACUUGCUGCUCUGGUGAUAGCUCAGCUUGGCGAUGAACAAUUCAAAACUUCUUCUCGGUGAUGAAUAGGCUUCUGUGUAUAUCUAUGAUAUGAGAAAAUCUUGUAACACGAAAAAUUAUGGGGUACUCUAGCUUAUAUGAAGUGAGGAUUAGUACUUCAUAAUUGUGCCAUGUACCUGCUAAUUUUGACUCACAUCACACUCACUGAAUACCUAGUCUGAAACUGAAAACAAUAUUUAGUUCAUCUGUCUGUUUCUUUGGGUGCACUCAGAAACGGAGAAACCAAUCAUGAAACAAUUUUCUCAUCAUAACGUCUAUGAUCGAGAAGAGGGGGAGAUGAAAUAAACUCGAGGCUGAAUGAUGCUAGAGCUUUAUGUGCUUUAGGUGGAUUAAAGAUGGGUUUCCUGCUAGCUAGGUUCUACCAUUGCAUCUCUCACAAAAAAAGGUUCUACCAUUGUAUCUGGGAUUUAUGCAAGUCUGAUAUUGUUGAUCUAGUUCUCAGUAAUGCUCCUCUACCUGAUGGUUUAAAUGAGACUCUUAUUGCUUU